rnacentral:rRNA from 1 species
UGUGGCCUACGGGGGGCAGCAGUGGGGAAUAUUGCGCAAUGGGCGAAAGCCUGACGCAGCGACGCCGCAUGAGGGAUGAAGGUCUUCGGAUCGUAAACCUCUGUCAGCAGGGAAGAACGGUCACUGUGCUAAUCAGCAGUGAAUUGACGGUACCUGCAAAGGAAGCACCGGCUAACUCCGUGCCAGCAGCCGCGGUAAUACGGAGGGUGCAAGCGUUAUCCGGAUUUACUGGGUGUAA